UCAAUAGUCAGUCAGCUUGUGAUGCAUGAAGGUGAUGAGUGCUUUAACAAGGAGUGUGUGGCAACAGGGCCCAAGGCGUGGAGUGCAACACCUGGUGCUGAGCUCAAGAUUUGCACACCAUGCGCGUGUCAGAUUUCCACCUUGGAUUAACUUUAGUUGAGCACUGCAGUCUGCAUGCCCACUAGUAGCUGAAUGCAUUUGGGUCCACCUAAAACAUCUCUUCUGGCUCACCUUUUGUGGAAACACCUGGAAGCAUGCAGCUCCUAACAUGGAUUCAGGAACUUGCUUAUGUGGUUUGAACCACUCAGGCAGGGCUGAGCACAUGACAGCUCAUUUCAAUAACAGAGGUUCAGAGUAUUCUCUUCCAAAACAUUUUGAGAAGAGCUUCCCACCACCACUACAGAGGGACUCAUCUCUGGGGUCUUCAGCUGCCCUCUUUCAUGCAACAUGAGAAGAAGUGAGGACCCUGCCCUUCUGGUAUAUUUGCUUGAAAUCAUCAGUAAUAAAUGACUGAGGAACACACAUAAAUGUGAGAUGCUCACAUACCUCUGCAUGAGUGAGAGGAUUUCUCACUUCCUACAGAAGUCAAGCUAAAGUAAUGGACACCCCAAAAAUUUGUGAAGUACACACACCCAAAUGCAUGUCUUUGCCACCAAAAGAGAGGGAGGAGAGUUUUCAAUCAACAUCAUUGUGGUCUCUUGACAGUAAUGGAGAAUGAGGAGAGGAUAUUAUUUGGGAGGCUUUUACUGACAGUGAAACCAGUGAAAUGAGUGCCUUGCAGUGAAACUGGAAUUAGCUGAAA